CUCGCUCUCUUUACUAAUGUAAUGUUUAUUCAAGAAAGAACUCAGUGGAUUAAACUUUCGCCCACCCAAUACAUUGCUACCUGUGGAUAGCAGACCACAUCUGCAUUUCACAAUCUCUACACUACAUCUCUGUCAGAUCCGCAGCAGCACCCAUCGUGUCCUUGCUGCCCGACGCUCCCCACCCUGAUCCCACUGCAUCAUCCCGUCCCGGCCGGAAGGUCACCGCUCGGACCGGGACACACGGUAACGAGCGGGAAAAAGAACCAAAGAUGGCCGCUGGAAGACGACGAAGGAGAAGGACAAGUGAUGCAGGGAACCAGGAUUGAGGCAACUGUACAAUCUGACUGCACCCACCACCGCCAGCCCUCGCCCCCAGACCAGUGUCCUGCGUGCUGGCCCCUCCGUCGGGCGUAACGAGAUGGGACCUGGCUCCUUGCAGAUUCUAUUACUCCACCACUCUAUUACA
ensembl:lncRNA